GGCGUGGGUGAUGAUCACUUGACCUUAGGUAUGUCUUGUUUUGGGCCGUUUUGGUUCAAUGUUUGAACUUACCAAUGAGAGGACUUGUCAUAGUUACACUGACACGCG
ensembl:snoRNA SNORD46 small nucleolar RNA, C/D box 46